rnacentral:lncRNA from 1 species
UUCUCUGAAGCCCCUUUCAAUCGCAGAGGAGGGCAAAGUUGGGCCUCGGAGGAAGGGAAGGAAAGCCAGAAUCCUCCCUGGCUCCUGGCUCCCUCUCCACAGCACCCGCCAGGCUGCUCAGCCCCUCUUGCUCCCUGGAGAAGACACUGCGGUGCAGCUGCGCCUCCCACGGGGUCCCCACGCCAUCUGGGCAGUGCUGGAUGGGAGGCGACCCCGUGGGCGUGAAGCGCACAGACAACAUCCUCCGAGGGACUCUGCCACGCUUACCGCGUGGGCCAACACCACCAUCCCCCUCCUCGUGGGGGAACCGGAAAUAGACCCGGCUUCGCCGUGAGGGGAGGAGCCAGUAUGGAGUCCGCACUUCCGGUGCCUUCCUGAUACCAGGCGAGGGCACAGGGGCCUGGGGACUGGGCCAGAAGGGGACACCUAGGGUCCAGGUGAAGCUGUUUAAGCCGUGGGAGGAAAAGCAGAUUUUCAAGACCGAAGAAGCCCCAAUCCUCAAGAAAGCACAGCCACAGCGGGAGCCAGAAGCACCUGAGUCUGAAGCUGCAACCCCACCAGCCCCGCCCGGAGGUGAGGCCCUGCGCGGGUGGAGAGCAGGCGAGGCCGCCCGGCAGGACCACCAGGGGCCACCAUUUAAGACGGAGAUUCCAGGCGGGGGAUGCCGCUCAGCGGCGCUGGGCCUGCCUGGCAAGCGCAAGGUCCUGAGUGCGAUCCCCAGUAACCAGAAAAAGAAAACAAAAAGGAGAUUCCAACUCUGGCAUGGUGGCUCCAGGUCCAGAAUCCCAGCACUUUGGGAGGCUGAGUCAGGAAGGUCACAAGUUGGAGCCCCAGCCUGGGCAAUUAGUGACUUAGCAAAACCCUGUCUCAAAAUACAAAGGGGGCUUGGUAUGCAGCUCACUGCAAAGGCCCUGGGUUCAAUCUCCAGUACUUCUGAAAAGAGAAGAGAGAUUCUCAGGCCCCACCCCCCAAGCAGCCCUGGCCCUGGGAGCCAGAGCCCUGCUUCCUCCAGCACUAAGCAGUCUGUGCUCACAGCAGGCUCACGGGGCUGGCUCUCAACGGGCCAUCUGUCCGACCUGGCCCUCUCUUCACGAAGGUCCCGCAGUGCAGAGCUGUGGGCGGCCCAUGGUGAGGGCCAGGGAGCAGAGAACACCAGAGGGGGCAUCGUGUCUGCCUGGGCGGCCCUAACAAACCACCUCGGACAGGCAGCUUUCAACACCAGGAACUCAUUC